ACAUGCCUACAGAAUAUCAUGAAUGCAUUGGAUCCCAUUAGAACUCCGCAGCUAAGCACGCUCGGGUUAUAGUAGUAUUGGAAUGGGUGAUCGCCCAAGAAGUCCUAGUGUUUUACAUGCC
rnacentral:rRNA from 1 species